rnacentral:misc_RNA from 1 species
ACAUUUACUGUGUCAAAUUUGGGAGGGCCGUUUGGCAUCAAGCAAUUCUGUGCCAUCGUUAAUCCUCCUCAAUCUGGCAUUCUUGCAGUUGGCUCUGCUGAGAAGAGGAUUAUUCCUGGUUUUGGUCCUGAUGAAUUUAAAUUCGCUUCCUUCAUGUCAGUAACCCUAAGUUGUGAUCAUCGUGUCAUAGAUGGUGCAGUUGGUGCUGAAUGGCUAAAAGCGUUCAAGGGCUACAUUGAGAAUCCUGAAUCAAUGUUGCUGUAAAUCAAUCGAUGGCUCUUUCUGUCAUUUCUUUGUACACCUUUCUUUGCAGUUGCCAUUAUUAACAUUGAGCUGCAUUUGUUUUUUUUGCAAUCAGUCGUUAGAUAGGAAAAAAUAGCUGGGUAGAAUAAAAGUAUUGGGUUCUUUUGAGGCGUUAAAAAGCAAACUCGCUCAAUUUUGCUUUUGCAGAGUGUAAUAACGCACUUUACCAAGGUGAUACCUUUUGUUGAAUAGAUUUUCUUUUGUUAAAAAAAAAAAUCUAUUCAACAAAA